GGAAGAUGAAUGAAAUAGGAAAAAGGGAAAUGUGGGGGUUGAAAAAAACGUUCCGGUUUGACUUGGGCAGCGGUGUGGGGAUUGUUUGAGGUGGGACGGGAUUAAGAUAUUUGGGGAAAGGGGUUGAGAAAUUGCAAGCAAAAGGAGGAAAAAUGGAAGCUUGAAUGGAACGACGCCGAGGCCCAGGAUGUUGCUUUCGCGGGUUUGUCC
rnacentral:misc_RNA from 1 species